GCGGGGAUAGCUCAGUUGGUAGUAGCAUAUGCUUAACAGCGCUUAAUCGCAUAAGGUCGUGGGUUCGAUCCCCACUUCUCGUA